rnacentral:rRNA from 1 species
UACGUAGGGGGCGAGCGUUGUCCGGAUUUAUUGGGCGUAAAGAGCUCGUAGGCGGCUUGGCAAGUCGGGUGUGAAACCUCCAGGCUCAACCUCGAGACGCCGAUGGAAACCAUCAGACUAGAGUCCGGAAGAGGAGAGUGGAAUUCCUGGUGUAGCGGUGAAAUGCGCAGAUAUCAGGAAGAACACCCGUGGCUAAGGCGGCUCUCUAGUACGGUACUGACGCUGAGACGCGAAAGCGUGGGGAGCGAACAGG